AUCCCUUCGCUAAGGAGCCUCUUAUGCGAAAACUGACGGCUACUCUUAUAGUUAGCCUGAUAGGGUUGAUGGCGCUAUCCGUGUCGACCACGGUUGUCGCAUGUGACGGUUAUUCGAACAGUGCACCGUCUCCGAAAUGACCGCCCGCCCGAAUGCGCUGAGUGCGCACAAAAAAAGGCCUUCAUCCGACGAUGAAGGCCUUUUACA
rnacentral:ncRNA from 1 species